UACGGAGGGAGCAAGCGUUACUCGGAAUUAUUGGGCGUAAAGGGCGCGUAGGCGAUUUGAAAAGUCUUGUGUGAAAGCCCCGAGCUUAACUCGGGAAGUGCACAAGAAACUGUUGAAUUUGAGUUCCGGAGAGGAAGGCAGAAUUCCCGGUGUAGCGGUGAAAUGCGCAGAUAUCGAGAGGAACACCUGCGGCGAAGGCGGGUUGCUGGGCCGACACUGACGCUGAGGAGCGAAAGCGUAGGGGAGCGA
rnacentral:rRNA from 1 species